rnacentral:rRNA from 1 species
CGAUCAGUAGGGGUUCUGAGAGGAAGGUCCCCAACAUUGGAACUGAGACACGGUCCAAACUCCUACGGUAGGCAGCAGUGAGGAAUAUUGGUCAAUGGGCGAGAGCCUGAACCAGCCAAGUAGCGUGCAGGAAGACGGCCCUAUGGGUUGUAAACUGCUUUUAUAAGGGAAUAAAGUGAGUCUCGUGAGACUUUUUGCAUGUACCUUAUGAAUAAGGACCGGCUAAUUCCGUGCCAGCAGCCGCGGUAAUACGGAAGGUCCGGGCGUUAUCCGGAUUUAUUGGGUUUAAAGGGAGCGUAGGCCGGAGAUUAAGCGUGUUGUGAAAUGUAGACGCUCAACGUCUGCACUGCAGCGCGAACUGGGUUCCUUGAGUACGCACAAAGUGGGCGGAAUUCGUGGUGUAGCGGUGAAAUGCUUAGAUAUCACGAAGAACUCCGAUUGCGAAGGCAGCUCACUGGAGCGCAACUGACGCUGAAGCUCGAAAGUGCGGGUAUCGAACAGGAUUAGAUACCCUGGUAGUCCGCACGGUAAACGAUGGAUGCCCGCUGUUGGUCUGAACAGGUCAGCGGCCAAGCGAAAGCAUUAAGCAUCCCACCUGGGGAGUACGCCGGCAACGGUGAAACUCAAAGGAAUUGACGGGGGCCCGCACAAGCGGAGGAACAUGUGGUUUAAUUCGAUGAUACGCGAGGAACCUUACCCGGGCUUGAAUUGCAGAGGAAGGAUUUGGAGACAAUGACGCCCUUCGGGGUCUCUGUGAAGGUGCUGCAUGGUUGUCGUCAGCUCGUGCCGUGAGGUGUCGGCUUAAGUGCCAUAACGAGCGCAACCCCUCUCCUUAGUUGCCAUCAGGUUAAGCUGGGCACUCUGGGGACACUGCCACCGUAAGGUGUGAGGAAGGUGGGGAUGACGUCAAAUCAGCACGGCCCUUACGUCCGGGGCUACACACGUGUUACAAUGGCAGGUACAGAGAGACGGUUGUACGUAAGUACGAUCAAAUCCUUAAAGCCUGUCUCAGUUCGGACUGGGGUCUGCAACCCGACCCCACGAAGCUGGAUUCGCUAGUAAUCGCGCAUCAGCCAUGGCGCGGUGAAUACGUUCCCGGGCCUUGUACACACCGCCCGUCAAGCCAUGAAAGCCGGGGGCGCCUAAAGUCCGUGACCGUAAGGAGCGGCCUAGGGCGAAACUGGUAAUUGGGGCUAAGUCGUAACAAGGUA